UCAACUUAACAUGGUAAUCUAACUGGGCUUACAAUAAUCACAUAAGAAGACAAAUGGGAGGGUUACUGGAUCUGUUAGCAGAUGCAAGCAUAGGUUUGUUGGGCUUUUAGGCCUAAGUUGCGAUUGGCCGCGAAAUAACGAACGGAGGGGUGUGAACACGGAGGUGCCCAGCGGGUUUGGGUGAAGAGAUUCUUGGACAAAAGCCUAAGUCCGCCAGAGCCCAAAUCCAAGCUCCAUCUAGGUCUGUUGCAGGGGCUCGUGUGUUGGGAUUUAAAGUCGCGGCCAAGAAUUUCGAAGGGACUCCCCGCAGAGAAUCACCGCCACCAAAUUCGCCGUUCCCACCCACCGGUGACAAUCGAAAACUCCUAAUGCUUGCUUUCGCCACCUCAAGAAUUGAAUUAUCAUGCGAAUUCAUCGCCGGGCCGAGUUCAAAUUCGAGGUUGAAAUGGAGAAGCAUCUGUCGGAUUCAUGAACGAUUCGAGUGACGUACCGCGUUGCAUCCUUGCGUCCAUGGAGAUGAAGAGCGAAGCCGUGUGGUGUCGAGGGUGAAAGCGUGAGGUUGCGUUACGACGGAGAUGAAGAACGAAGAUGCGUCAAUUUGCCCGAAGAUUUGCAAGGUUGCAGGAUUGAUCUUUAGGAUCGAAUUGCAAAGCUGAAGAGGUUGCGGCGGGACUAACUGCGAAGAGAAGCUAAUUAGCUACAGUUAGUAUGUUAUCUUCAUGCAUUGGACUUCAAAUUAGCUAAAACCGAACCAAAAUCUUGUGUUGAAUGAGUUGCUAAUUUUCUUUAUUCAACUGGUUUGGAAGGUGUCGGCAUGUCAUAUAUGACCUAAAUUCGGUUAUGAAUGCAAUGCCGUUAGUAUGUACCUGGCAUGUUACGGGUGUCGUUGCUAUGUUAUGAAAUGAAUGUGAUAUGCAAUGGCUUGUUGAAUUAUUUUUAAUAGCAUGAAAUGCUUCAUUUUAUGGAAUAGGGUGCGAAGCAGGAUGAAGGAAAUUCAUGAGGGAGUUCCUUAGCAUUGGAUUCUGCCAAUCCUAUUGGAGUUAGAAGCGGUGCAACUUUUGUUAGUUGACGAGUUUCCCAUUCAGCUUCUGCUAGAGGUUAUUUGUGGCUUGUUUGGAAUGUGUCAUCGACAUUUGGAUCGCCUACAAGAUUUGAAUUCCACGGAGCUGUUUUGGGUUUAGAUUAAAUGGUUGUAAUGAAAUAAUUUGGAUGUAUUAAUGUAUGUUAGAUGAUGAAUUGGAAUGUUAGAAAUGGUUGUCAUGCAAUUGUCCACACUGACCUGUUUGUAUAUUGAUGCUUAGUGCAUUGUAUGUAAAUGGAUUUGCAGGUUAAUGUUAAAUUUGGGGAGUGGAAUUUAAUUGAA